GGGCGGUUGGCUCAGCGGUAGAGCGCUUGACUCACAUUCAAGAGGUCACAGGUUCGAUUCCUGUACCGCCCACCA
rnacentral:tRNA from 1 species